UACGUAGGGUCCGAGCGUUGUCCGGAAUUACUGGGCGUAAAGAGCUCGUAGGUGGUUUGUCGCGUUGUUCGUGAAAACUCACAGCUCAACUGUGGGCGUGCGGGCGAUACGGACAGACUAGAGGUAGGUAGGGGGAGAAUGGAAUUCCUGGUGUAGCGGUGAAAAUGCGCAGAUAUCAGGAAGAACACCCGUGGCUAAGGCGGCUCUCUAGUACGGUACUGACGCUGAGACGCGAAAAGCGUGGGGGAGC
rnacentral:rRNA from 1 species